UACGUAGGGUGCGAGCGUAACUCGGAAUUACUGGGCGUAAAGCGUGCGCAGGCGGCGCGUUAAGACAGGUGUGAAAGCCCCGAGCUUAACUUGGGAAUUGCGCUUGUGACUGGCGUGCUGGAGUGUGGCAGAGGGAGGUGGAAUUCCACGUGUAGCAGUGAAAUGCGUAGAGAUGUGGAGGAACACCGAUGGCGAAGGCAGCCUCCUGGGCCAGCACUGACGCUCAUGCACGAAAGCGUGGGGAGCAAACGGG
rnacentral:rRNA from 1 species